GUUAAACUAGAUUAUGGCUCAGAUUGAACGCUGGCGGGAUGCUACACAUGCAAGUCGAACGGCAGCACGGACUUCGGUCUGGUGGCGAGUGGCGAACGGGUGAUGUAUCGGGGACAAUGCCUAUUGAGAUAUGCGCGAAGGCGCCAAGCUAAAUACCCGCCGCGCUGAAAGCGGGGACCUUCGGGCCUCGCACUAUUAGAGCAGCCGAUAUGGUUAGCUGGUGGUGGGGUAACGGCUCACCGAGGCGACGUCCGUAGCUGGUUUGAGAGGACGACCAGCCACACUGGGAUUGCAGACACAGCCCAGACUCCUACGAGGGGCGGCAGUAGGGGGUACGGACAAUGGAAACCUGAUCAGCCAUCCCGCGUGUGCGAUGAAGGCCUUCGGGUUGUAAAGCACUUUUGUGGAAGAAACGGCGGGAUAAUACCCCGUGCAACUGACAAUACCUGCAGGAGAUAAAGCACAAACGCUACGUGCCGCUGACCGCGGUAAUACGUAGGGUGCAAGCGUUAAUCAGGUUACUGGGCCGUAAAGCGUGCGCAGAGCGGUUCGGAAGAAGAUGUAGAAAUCCCAGGCUUUGGAACUGCAUUUUUAACUACCGAGCUGAGUGUGUCGGGGGAAGUGCAAAUUCCGCGUGUAGCAGUGAAAUGCUACGUGAAUAUGCGGAGGAACACCGAUGGCGAAGCAGCUAUGGAAAUAACACUGACGCUCAUGCACGAAAGCGUGGGGGCGUAGGAUUGGUCACUGGUAGUCCACGCCUAAACGAUGUCAACUAGCUGUUGGGGCCUUCGGGCCUUGGUAGCGCAGCUAACGCGUGAAGUUGACCUUAGGAAAUUACGGUCGCAAGAUUAAAACUCAAAAGGAAUUGGCAGGACCACACAAGCGGUGGAUGAUGUGGAUUAAUUCGACUACAACGCGAAAAACGCCCUACCCUUGACAUGUCCGGAAUCCAGAAGAGAUUUGGGAGUGCUCGCAAGAGAACCGGAACACAGGUGCAUGGCUGUCGUCAGCUCGUGUCGUGAGAUGUUGGGUUAAGUCCGCAACGAGCGCAUGUCAUUAGUUACGAAAGGGCACUCUAAUGAGACUGCCGGUGACAAACCGGAGGAAGGUGGGGAUGACGUCAAGUCCUCAUGGCCCUUAUGGGUAGGGCUUCACACGUCAUACAAUGGUCGGGACAGAGGGUCGCCAACGCGAGGGGGAGCCAAUCCCGAAACCCGAUCGUAGUCCGGAUCGCGGUCUGCAACUCGACUGCGUGAAGUCGGAAUCGCUAGUAAUCGCGGAUCAGCAUGUCGCGAGUGAAUACGUUCCCGGGUCUUGUACACACCGCCCGUCACACCAUGGGAGUGGGUUUUACCGAAGUAGUUAGCCUAGCCGUAAGGAGGGCGAUUACUGAUGAUUCAUGACUGGGGUGAAGUCGUAACAAGGUAG
rnacentral:rRNA from 1 species